CUCUUAUCCUGAGUGGUGGAGGGACAUGGACCCAAUGAAACCCAGCAACCUCUUUUUAACGAAGAAAGGUGCCAAACCGUUUGCAGGUGAAAUAACCUGAACGAUAAGAG
rnacentral:ncRNA from 1 species